GCCCUACGCCCCUCCUCCUUCUCCUCCUCCCCAGUGCCACAGAGUCGGAGCUUGAGCAGCCGACGCCUGAGCAGCCGCCGCAGCCACAGACGCGGGCACUAUGGCUUCUGGAGUUACAGUGAAUGAUGAAGUCAUCAAAGUUUUUAAUGAUAUGAAAGUAAGGAAAUCUUCUACACAAGAGGAGAUCAAAAAAAGAAAGAAAGCAGUCCUCUUCUGUUUAAGCGAUGACAAAAGACAAAUAAUUGUAGAGGAAGCAAAGCAGAUCUUGGUGGGUGACAUUGGUGAUACUGUAGAGGACCCCUACACAUCUUUUGUGAAGUUGCUACCUCUGAAUGAUUGCCGAUAUGCUUUGUACGAUGCCACAUACGAAACAAAAGAGUCUAAGAAAGAAGACCUAGUAUUUAUAUUCUGGGCUCCCGAAAGUGCACCUUUAAAAAGCAAGAUGAUUUAUGCUAGUUCUAAAGAUGCCAUUAAAAAGAAAUUUACAGGUAUUAAACAUGAGUGGCAAGUAAAUGGCUUGGAUGAUAUUAAGGACCGCUCGACACUUGGAGAGAAAUUGGGAGGCAAUGUAGUAGUUUCACUUGAAGGAAAACCCUUAUAAAAUGCCAGUCAAGUGCCAUCUGGAUCUUAAGGAGCUUCCAUUUCUCCACCUCAAAAGAGAACCCUGUUGUGGCUGUAGUCACAGAGGAACAGAUUUGGAUCUUGAAACAUUUGUACAUUGCACCUGGGUGUUUGCUACAUGACUUAGUGCUGUCUACCAUAAAUACUUGAAGCCACAAUUUUUUUCUGUAUUUCUUUUGCCACUACUUCUGUUCCAUUGGGAUUUGAUAAUAGGCACCUCUUGCAUAAUUUUUACUAUUCCCAAAUGAAUUAUUUUACAAAAUAAGUUUCCAAUAUGUUGGGACUCUACUUUCUCCCGGUGUGUUUGUAUGAUAAAGUUUAAUAGAUGCUAGUUCCUGGUGCACAGUGUAAAUAACCUAUCCACUUAUCUACUUUGCAUCCUGCUAAAAUAUUUAAGGUAUAAUGUAUAUAUUUUGCACUAAACCAGAAGCACUCAAUCUGUAUUUGAUGAAAAAGUGAUAAUCUACUAAUUGAGCUCAAAUUACGCAGAGCAAACAUUGGCUAAUAACCACCUAGAUACUUAGCUUUCAUUUAACCUAAUUUAGGAGAGAGUUUACAUUUUGCAUGCUAUUCAAAGAGGAUCUGGUAAUCCCUAUAAUUGAAAAAAAAAAGUAAGAUUUGUGUUUGCUGUGGAGAAACAUGAUCAUCGUGGACACCAUGAAUCAUUCUGAAAACAUCCCAUCUCUGUUUCCCAAUUACUCAGAUCAUUAGGGCAAUUUCAGUUCAGUUCAACAAACAGAAAGCACCCUUCUUGACCUCAAGAAGAUUCUUGUGAUAUAAGCAAGGCAAAUAUAUAAAUGAAUAAUUAGAGUGUGAUAAGUGCAAUAGUAUAUUACAAGGUUUUAAAGAGGAGGUGAUUAACUUUGAACUAAAGAUGGGCUUUAAGAAGGCCAUGUAGAGGAGGUAAUGUUUGAGCUGGGUUGUGAAGGAUGAUAGAAUUCACCAGAAAUCAGUAUGAAAGGAUGGUCCUAGAGAAAGGAGAGCUUGUGCAGAGGCCCUGCCAAUAGUUCAUUACAGUAGAUUAGUCAAGUGUGAAGCAAUGUGAUGGGAAAAGUGGGUAUGAGGCAGAUCAUUGAGGCAAUGGAUAUACUGAGGAGGUGGAGCAUGACAAGGAGCCAGUGCAGAGUUUUAAGCAGAGGGGUAACAUGAUCUUUCUAAAACACAAAUCUGAUCAUAUGACCAUAUGGAGAAUGUAUGGAACGGGGAAGAACUUGGAGGCAGUUAAAACCCAGAAGGCAGUUAACCCAUUGCCGUUGAGUUGAUUCCAACUCAUAGCAACCCUAAAGGACAGAGUAGAACUGCCCCAUGGGGUUUCCAAGGCUGUAUGUCUU